GUGCUCAUUUUGGCAGCAAGUAUACUAAAAUUAGAACGACACAGAGAAGAUUAGCAUGGCUGCUGUACGAGGAUGACACGCAAAUUCAUGACGUGUUCCAUAUUUUU